rnacentral:lncRNA from 1 species
GACCGGCCGGCCGCGGCGCUGGACACCUUACUUCCUGCUUCCCCGCCAGACCCAGCUCUGCGGAGGGAUAUCUCUCCCCUCCUCUGUCCCUCUCUCUCCCUUCCCCCGCCCUCCCCCUCUUUUUGCUUCUGCUCCCCCCCACCACCCCGCCUUUCUCCUUUUGCAAGAAAAUAAUUUGACAGUCGAUUUGCUGACAGGGGAGGAAUUUGCAUCCUGGAUUAAAAAAAAAAAAGGCCGAGAGGAGCUUGGGAACGGUUGCUAGGGCUCUGCUCGCCCCCCAUCUCACCCCCCAAGCGGAGACUGGUCUUCUUGUCGGAUUGCCCAUGCACUUGUUGCAGAAACAGCCAAGCUGCAUGGCAUUCCAUUUUGUGGAUGAACCAUAAUUUAUUAAAGCAGUCCCCUGACAAUGGAUGUGGGGGCUGUUUCCAGUCUUCUGUCAUUACAAAGCAGACUGCAGUGAGAAUCCUGUAUACACACCAAUCUGCAUAUGUGGGAGCAUGUCUCAGAAUCAGUUCUUAGAAGUGGAAUUGCUGGUAGAGCUUGUAGACGUCUGUGAUAUUGGUAGACCUUGCGAGUAUCCUUCCUAGGAGCUGGUAGCAAUUUACACCAGCACCCUCAAUGAAUGAGACAUCCUCGCCAACACAGUGAGUUAUCAAACUUUUUGAUCUUUGCCAAUCUGAUAGAUGAAAAUUGGUAUCUCAGUUAGUUUUAAUUUGCAUUUCUUUUAUGAAUGCGGUUGAGCAUUUUUUCACAAGUUUAAGAU